AGAGAGGGAGAGAGGACGAGGAGACGCAGAAGGCGUUACCGCAAAAUAUCCUUUUCAGGGAAAGGGGGGAGGGGAGCACGUCGCAAGGGUGUGUGUGUGUGUGAGAGAGAGAGAGAGAGACUGACACACAGCUGAAAUUCACAGUGAGAUUCACACACACAAGGAGCAGGAGAUACGAAAGUAAAACAGAGCAACAAAGAGCAGCACUCUGGUCACUGGUGCAGAACAUGCCGAGUGUGUGUUUUCAUUGUCCCGUCGAGGCAAAUGCUCCUGAGCCAAACACACUCGCAUCCACGUCAAACGCUGCCGGUCACCAGGGCCGACCGCACAUCGCUAUGACAACGGAGCCGAGCCAUUUAAUCGCCUCCUAUUUAGCUGCGGCUCAACCCAAGAUUAUGGCCCGCAGUCCUUCAGGAGGCGCCUCGCUAACACGCUCCUAAAGUUUGCUUCCCAGCCUCACGUGGACGAGCGAGUAAAGGAACAAACACGGGCAAGGAAUCGGAGCCCAGCGCAGAGUAAACAGCCCGUUACCGGAGCUCUCAACAAACCCAACGGUCCAGGGCGCGGUCACGUCAAACACAGCCCUACAAUCUCAGUCCUCUUCUCCACUCUGUGCAACAGCAGUUCCUCCAACCAUCCCGUUUAAACUGUUCCCAUGGCAACAGUGCACACAUGUGCAAUCACUCAACGGUUCUGCUCCAAAAGUGGAAUUUUCUCAGACUCAUCUGCACACCUGGCCACCACUGCUGCACAUGGCCACGCUCACCUCCGCCGGGCGCUCCCCCCCUCUCAUCUCACACGCUCCUGGACAAGAAGGUUUAAAAAAAAAAAAAAAAAAAAAAAAAUAGUACCUGCUCUCUCCUUUCUCUGGCUGCCCAUCUGAUAGCAGCAGAGCAGUGAGGCACAUCCAGCAAACCACAACACACUUUCACAGCCACCUCAGCUCACCUGUGCCUCACUGAUCCAACGUUGUGGAAACCAGCUACCUGCUGCGUGCGGUGCUGCGCACCCCCAACACACACGCACCUUCCAUGCUGCUAUUCCUCUCAGAAGGUUCCAUGGACGCCUCCAUUGCCCUCCUCCAGGUGGAGCUGAGGUUAAAGAUCUGGACUUAGUAAUAAAAUAUCCAGGUAGCGUAGCGGUUACCGGUGCUGCUUUCAGCUCCGAAGGCCACGGGUUCGAAUCCCACCUACUACUCUAGUGCUCUUAAGUGAGGGAAUCACCCAGAUUCCACCAGUUAAAAAUUACCCUGCUCUACAAACAGGUAAAUCAUUGAAAGAACUGAGUCACUUUGGAGAAAAGCAGGAGAGAAAGAUUAAAUCAAAGAUGCCCGGAUGCAGUAUGAAAUCUAACCAUAUCAGUGUUGUUCUGCACUUCACACACAGGUGUGACUGAUCAUGUGAGAGAUGGGGAAGACCAGCUCCAGGCCCAGUAUCAUGACAAAAUGAUCACCGGUGAACUGGAGCUAGUGGUGUAAAGCAGCGUCCCUGGGGUGGAAACGGUAUAAAACACGGUAUACACACACACUUACUGAAGCCGCUCGUCCCAAGCAGCGCCCCUGUGAACCAGAGCCAAGCCCGGCAGGACAGGGCACGGCGCUGGGGGAAGCACCCAGGACGGGAUGCCAGUCGUCAGACGGGAUGCCAGUCGUCAGACGGGAUGCCAGUCGUCAGGAGGCACCCCCCCCCACCCAACUCUUACAGAGCCGCUGUGGUCAAACGGAGUAAAACAAGGUCCGUUCCCGUCCUACCACACGGUCCUCCAGGCUCCACGUGGUGCCGAACCCGGGCGCGUUUCUCCAACAUGAUGAUGAUGAUCUGCGUUUUACUGAAUAAACGGUCGGAUCUUCCGCAAUCGAUCAUCUGACAUCUUGACUCGGACAUCAAGGCUACAUUAUCGGCCAGAUGGACGCGUCAGGGACGGAACGCCGCUGACACUUCUUAACCGAUGUUUCCUCAAGUCAUUACUCUGAGGAAAAUCGUGACUAACCUGUGAAACCCAAGAGCAUUCUUUGAACUGUGGCCAAAUAUGCAUAUAUCUCCGUAGACAUUAUCGUCUGGUCUUCACGCCAUCACGGACCCUCUCGGCUACGUCCGCCAUUCCCACACCCAGCGAGGCGUCUGGUGUUGAUCCUGUUCAAAGGUACAUUCCGGAAGCCACACCUGAAGCUGACUGUACAGCGUUAUCUACCAGUUCCGUUUGACUAUGUAUGAUACAAUGUAUAUUUUGCAGCGUUCCCGAUGUGUACCAAAGGUUAUUACUGUUGUCUUGAGCAAUUCUGAUUCUUGCUGCUGGCAGCUCUCAGAGGAACUGGGGGGAUUUUAUCUGCCCCGUGACCUCAACCCCCAACAUCCGUAUCAGGUUGAAUGCCACUUUCCAGAUUCUGAUGUCUGAACAGUUCCAAUUAGAGCGGAACUGCUUUCCGCGCUUCUCAACACAUUCCUACAGCUGCAGGACAACAGGUUUCACAUCUCCAAGUCUGAAGGCAAAGAUACCACCGACAUUGUACAAAGUGGUCUGAGUAGUCAACGCCUUACACUCACCCUUCCUGUAACCAUUACACCUUGACUGGGUCCAUCAGUCCCUCAGUAUCACCAAUAAAUUUAAGAUGCUUACCUGGAGACUUGACCCAACAGUUGGUCCCUUCCCCCACACCAGUGCACUACAAGGUGUCGACACUGAGGGGGAGCUCCUUAAAUACCGGCUACCCCUCAUAUCCGCCUCUUUUCCCUUCUGCCUCUCUCUCCCUCCCUCUCUGCCUUGCUCUCCCUGUAGUCACUUCCCAGUAAGGAGGAAAGGGUGGGAGGGACCACCCCCCUCCAUGCUCCCGCCCCCGCACUCUGAAUCAAUGCGUAGCUCUUCUGAGGAAAAACAGCUGACUGGCUCAGCCCUCAGUUCCCAUAAAACACAAACGAGCUUCGCUGGGCGGGCGAACCGAGGAAUUCCCCCUGUUGCACAAGAGCGUUCGCGUGGAAGGGAGAGAGAGCGGCGCGGUGCGGCACAGUGUGGUGCGGGCCCCUAACUGGCGGCGGGGGGUGGGACACGGCAAAGAGCAGCACAUGUGGUGGGAGUCAGCGAGAAGGCGGCUGCCGCGUGCCCGCAUGACCCUAAAAUUAAUUCUCGACGAAACCGAAAAUACCUUCAGGACCUUCCACCAAAGCAUCCACCAGAUAACACCCCCUCCUCAAUCCUCUCACUACUGUGGGCUCUGAGACAGUGCUGUGCUAUAUUUACGGCAAAUUACUGUACACUUACUGUAAGCCUUUGGGGGGGCUAGGGUCCUGAAUGCUGUCAUCUCAUGUGAUGUGAAAAAUUGGAAUAAGUAUAAUUUUAACCGUUGAACACCGGAAUUGUAGACCCUAAAAAAAACAGGGUAAUUUACAAACUAU